rnacentral:rRNA from 1 species
GGAAGAAGCGAAAGUGACGGUACCUGCAGAAGAAGCGCCGGCUAACUACGUGCCAGCAGCCGCGGUAAUACGUAGGGCGCAAGCGUUAUCCGGAAUUAUUGGGCGUAAAGAGCUCGUAGGCGGUUUGUCGCGUCUGCCGUGAAAGUCCGGGGCUCAACUCCGGAUCUGCGGUGGGUACGGGCAGACUAGAGUGAUGUAGGGGAGACUGGAAUUCCUGGUGUAGCGGUGAAAUGCGCAGAUAUCAGGAGGAACACCGAUGGCGAAGGCAGGUCUCUGGGCAUUAACUGACGCUGAGGAGCGAAAGCAUGGGGAGCGAACAGGAUUAGAUACCCUGGUAGUCCAUGCCGUAAACGUUGGGCACUAGGUGUGGGGGACAUUCCACGUUUUCCGCGCCGUAGCUAACGCAUUAAGUGCCCCGCCUGGGGAGUACGGCCGCAAGGCUAAAACUCAAAGGAAUUGACGGGGGCCCGCACAAGCGGCGGAGCAUGCGGAUUAAUUCGAUGCAACGCGAAGAACCUUACCAAGGCUUGACAUGAACCGGUAAUACCUGGAAACAGGUGCCCCGCUUGCGGUCGGUUUACAGGUGGUGCAUGGUUGUCGUCAGCU